GGAGAGAUGGCUGAGCGGCUUAAAGCGCUUGCCUGCUAAGCAAGAGUUCUUUAAAUGGGACGCGAGGGUUCGAAUCCCUCUCUCUCCACCA
rnacentral:tRNA from 1 species